GUGAAAGUAGCUCAGUUGGUAAGAGCACUGGAUUGUGGAUCCAGGGGUCGCGGGUUCGAAUCCCGUCUUUCACC
rnacentral:tRNA from 1 species